rnacentral:rRNA from 1 species
CCUACUGGCGGCAGCAGUAGGGAAUUUUCGUCAAUGGGCGCAAGCCUGAACGAGCGAUGUCGCGUGAGUGAAGAAGGCCCUCGGGUCGUAAAGCUCUGUUGCGGGGGAAAAAAGGCAGCAUCCGGAUAUGGGUGCUGACUGAUGGUGCCCCGCCAGAAAGUCACGGCUAACUACGUGCCAGCAACCGCGUUAAUACGUAGGUGGCGUGCGUUGUCCGGAUUGAUUGGGCGUAAAGGGUGCGCAGGCGGUCCUGCAAGUCUGGAGUGAAACGCAGGAGCUCAACUCAUGCAUGGCAUUGGAAACUGGAGGACUGGAGAGCAGGAGAGGGCGGUGGAACGCCAUGUGUAGCGGUGAAAUGCGUAGAUAUAUGGAAGAACACCAGUGGCGAAGGCAGCCGCCUGGCCUGUUGCUGACGCUGAGGCACGAAAGCGUGGGGAGCAAAUAGGAUUAGAUACCCCUGUAGUC